ACUUAAUGAUGUGGCCAUUGAUAGAGUAGGUCCCUAAAGUGCUCCCUAGUCUCAAAGAAAAGUUCCACAUCUAUUUGUAUGAAACUUGUGAUUGCACUUUGCAACU